CCUGUAAUCCCAGCACUUCGGGAGGCUGAGGUGGGUGGAUCAUGAGGUCAGGAGAUCGAGACCAUCCUGGCUAACAUGGUGAAACUCUGUCUCUACUAAAAAUACAAAAAAAAAAAUUAGCCAGGUGUGGUGGCCGGCGCCUGUAGUCCCAGCUACUCGGAAGGCUGAGACAGGAGAAUGGCGUGAACCGGGAAGGCAGAGCUUGCAGUGAGCUGAGAUCAUGCCACUGCACUCCAGCCUGGGGGACAGAGCGAGACUCCGUCAAAAAAAAAAAAGGGCAGGCGCAAAUCCAUAUUUAUAGUAAAGUAACUUUCGCAGAUUGUGCCUCUAUAGUCUCCU
rnacentral:lncRNA from 10 species